rnacentral:lncRNA from 1 species
CCGACCCACAGAUAAAAGGUCAAGAAAAACCAGGAAGGGAGAGAGAGGGCGGGAAGGAUCUAUGAACCAUAGAGAAAGAGACAAUCUACAUUGGCUGGAUUUACCGUGUACGAGCUGGACUGUUUUGGACUUACCUGUUGGCGUUUAGACCUGGACCUACCGAGAACCAGAUUUGUGUACCGAACCCUGCUAUCCUUGACCUUACCUGUGGCCUGACCAGGACAGCGAAACAAACACACAGGGGCCAGGAGCUGAUCUACGCUGAUAUGGCCAUCAAUGGGGCUCUGGCAAAGACCUCACCUCCAGCCUCACCUCUUCCUUGCUCACCAACGGCCGUCGAUGGGGAGAACAGAAUUAGAUACAUGAGAUGUAGAGAGACCUGGCACUCAACACAUCCACCAUGAG